rnacentral:rRNA from 1 species
UACGAGGGGGGCGAGCGUUGUUCGGAAUUAUUGGGCGUAAAGGGUGCGUAGGCGGUUCCGCAAGUCCUGUGUGAAAUCUUCGGGCUCAACUCGAAGUCUGCACGGGAAACUGCGGGGCUUGAGUGUGGGAGAGGUGAGCGGAAUUCCCGGUGUAGCGGUGAAAUGCGUAGAUAUGGGAGGAACACCUGUGGCGAAAGCGGCUCACUGGACCUACUGACGCUGAUGCACGAAAGCUGGGGGGAGCAAACAGG